GUUGUUGUGGUCAAGUGGUUAAGGCGAUAGACUAGAAAUAUUGUGUGAUCUUCCGGCGCAGGUUCGACCUCUGCCGACAAUG
rnacentral:tRNA from 1 species